GACCUACUCUCACUCUCAGCGCUUAUCUCUUCCGCUUCGUUCAGUUCCUGGUUCUCUUCCGCUUCGGUCGUUCUCUUCUCUUCUCCUCGUCUUCGUAAGUUGCAGCUAAGAUCAAUCAAACUUCUCCAGUUCUCCUCUUCUUUGAUCCGCUUGGAGCUUCAGUUAGACACGCUUCAGGAUAAGGAUAUGGUUGAGAUCAGAAGAUCAUUCAAAAACUAGCUGCAUUUGUCACAAUAUCUAAAAACUUGAAAAUUUUCAAACUUUGGUACUCAUUCCUGUCAAAGAUUUCGAUAGUGGUUGCUUUACAACAGUUGUAUAGAAGGUCUCAGGUAUCACAGCUCAUCCUUUGGAGGUGGUUCCAGUUCAAGGCUUUCUUCGUCUCAAUAGUAGGGGAACUUUAGUUUCACUGCAGUGUGAGGCAUUGACCAAUUUUCGUAGAUAAACACUUUUAACAGCCGGACGAGAUAUAACAACAACCACUUGCAAUUCCUCGUGCUCAUUUGUAUUUCGCAUCUGGGAAGCAAUAGGAAGGAAGAUAAUUAACGAGGGGAGAGAGAGAGAGAGAGAGAGAG
rnacentral:lncRNA from 1 species